AGUGAUUCGUAAUAAUCGGCCAACAUGUCGUGGAUAUCAUGGGGAUUAUACACCUUAUUUCCCAGUGAAUUUAAAAGGAAAGGUAUUUUCGCAUUUUGCCUCUUUUGCCGUAGAAGCGCUGCCAGUGCUUUCCCGGCUCUGUUCCCCUGGGUAUAUGUUGCAAGUUUAAGCCUAUGUGCCAUGGCAACUGUAGUUUGUAGGUGGAUAUCAUUUAACCGCCCUUUAAUUUGGUCUAUGCGUUGUUGCUUGGAUGCUGUGGGGUUUAGGAUUUGAGCAGAUGUUUCCGCCGUAAGCGAUCUCAUUAAGGUUAUAUAGUCUGCCUUCGCUUGUUUAUUUAGAUGGGAUGCUUGGCUGAUCAUGAGACCUCGAAUGAAUGCCUUAUGCGCUAGCCAUGUUGUAGCUAACUGGACAUCGGGUGUAUCGUUUAUAGUAAGGAACGAAAUGAUUUCUUCAGUGAGUUUGGCGGUAAAGGUCGGGUUGCUCAAGAGAGCUU